rnacentral:rRNA from 1 species
UAACCUGCCCAAGAGACUGGGAUAACACCUGGAAACAGAUGCUAAUACCGGAUAACAACACUAGACGCAUGUCUAGAGUUUAAAAGAUGGUUCUGCUAUCACUCUUGGAAUGGACCUGCGGUGCAUUAGCUAGUUGGUAAGGUAACGGCUUACCAAGGCAAUGAUGCAUAGCCGAGUUGAGAGACUGAUCGGCCACAUUGGGACUGAGACACGGCCCAAACUCCUACGGAAGGCAGCAG